GACGAACGCUGGCGGCGUGCUUAACACAUGCAAGUCGAACGGAAGGACCCUGCUUUUGUGGGGUGCUCGAGUGGCGAACGGGUGAGUAACACGUGAGUAACCUGCCCUUGACUUUGGGAUAACUUCAGGAAACUGGGGCUAAUACCGGAUAGGAGCUCCUGCUGCAUGGUGGGGGUUGGAAAGUUUCGGCGGUUGGGGAUGGACUCGCGGCUUAUCAGCUUGUUGGUGGGGUAGUGGCUUACCAAGGCUUUGACGGGUAGCCGGCCUGAGAGGGUGACCGGCCACAUUGGGACUGAGAUACGGCCCAGACUCCUACGGGAGGCAGCAGUGGGGAAUAUUGCACAAUGGGCGGAAGCCUGAUGCAGCAACGCCGCGUGCGGGAUGACGGCCUUCGGGUUGUAAACCGCUUUCGCCUGUGACGAAGCGUGAGUGACGGUAAUGGGUAAAGAAGCACCGGCUAACUACGUG
rnacentral:rRNA from 1 species